AAGCAAUUAUACGGCGAAACUGCGAAUGGCUCAUUAUAUAAGUUAUCGUUUAUUUGAUAGCACCUUACUACUUGGAUAACCGUGGUAAUUCUAGAGCUAAUACAUGCUAAAAAUCCCGACUUCGGAAGGGAUGUAUUUAUUAGAUUAAAAACCAAUGCCCUCUGGGCUCUCUGGUGAUUCAUGAUAACUUCUCGAAUCGCAUGGCCUUGCGCCGGCGAUGGUUCAUUCAAAUUUCUUCCCUAUCAACUUUCGAUGUUUGGGUAGUGGCCAAACAUGGUUGCAACGGGUAACGGAGGGUUAGGGCUCGACCCCGGAGAAGGAGCCUGAGAAACGGCUACUACAUCCAAGGAAGGCAGCAGGCGCGCAAAUUACCCAAUCCCGACACGGGGAGGUAGUGACAAUAAAUACUGAUACAGGGCUCUUUUGGGUCUUGUAAUUGGAAUGAGUACAAUUUAAAUCCCUUAACGAGGAACAAUUGGAGGGCAAGUCUGGUGCCAGCAGCCGCGGUAAUUCCAGCUCCAAUAGCGUAUAUUAAAGUUGUUGUGGUUAAAAAGCUCGUAGUUGAACCUUGGGCCUGGCUGGCCGGUCCGCCUCACCGCGUGCACUGGUCCGGCCGGGCCUUUCCCUCUGUGGAACCCCAUGCCCUUCACUGGGUGUGGCGGGGAAACAGGACUUUUACUUUGAAAAAAUUAGAGUGCUCCAGGCAGGCCUAUGCUCGAAUACAUUAGCAUGGAAUAAUGAAAUAGGACGUGCGGUUCUAUUUUGUUGGUUUCUAGGACCGCCGUAAUGAUUAAUAGGGACAGUCGGGGGCAUCAGUAUUCAAUUGUCAGAGGUGAAAUUCUUGGAUUUAUUGAAGACUAACUACUGCGAAAGCAUUUGCCAAGGAUGUUUUCAUUAAUCAGGAACGAAAGUUAGGGGAUCGAAGACGAUCAGAUACCGUCGUAGUCUUAACCAUAAACUAUGCCGACUAGGGAUCGGACGAUGUUAUUUUUUGACUCGUUCGGCACCUUACGAGAAAUCAAAGU
rnacentral:rRNA from 1 species